rnacentral:rRNA from 1 species
UUGAUUAAAUUUAAAAGGCUGCAGUAUACUGACUGUACAAAGGUAGCAUAAUCAAUUGUUUUUUAAUUGAAAACUGGUAUGAAAGAAUGGAUGAAAUAUAAUUUGUCUCAAAAUUAAAAUAUUGAAUUUAAAUGAAAAGUUAAAAUGCUUUUAUUUAAUUAUAAGACGAUAAGACCCUAUAGAAUUUUAUAAAUUUUAUUUAUUAAAAAUAUUAUGUAAUAAAAUAUUUAAUGAAUAAUUAUAUUUUAUUGGGAGGAUAUUUAAAUUAGUUUAACUUUAAAAAUUUAUAAACAUUAAUUAAUGAAUAUUUGAUUAUUAUUAUAAUUAUUAGAAUAAAUUACCUUAGGGAUAACAGCGUAAUAAUUUUGGAGAGUUCAUAUUGAUAAAAUUGUUUGCGACCUCGAUGUUGAAUUAUGAUAAAAAUUAAAUGGAGAAAUUUAAAAUUUUAGUCUGUUCGACUAUUAAAAUCAUACA